GUUUGAUCCUGGCUCAGAACGAACGCUGGCGGCAGGCUUAACACAUGCAAGUCGAACGGGUGUAGCAAUACAUCAGUGGCAGACGGGUGAGUAACACGUGGGAACCUUCCUAGGGGUACGGAACAACUCAGGGGAAACUUGAGCUAAUACCGUAUACGUCCGUGAGGAGAAAAGAUUUAUCGCCUUAGACGGGCCCGCGUCGGAUUAGGUAGUUGGUGGGGUAACGGCCUACCAAGCCUACGAUCCGUAGCUGAUCUUAGAGGAUGAUCAGCCACACUGGGACUGAGACACGGCCCAGACUCCUACGGGAGGCAGCAGUGGGGAAUCUUGGACAAUGGGCGCAAGCCUGAUCCAGCCAUGCCGCGUGAGUGAAGAAGGCCUUAGGGGUUGUAAAAGCUCUUUUUACCAGGGACGAUAAUGACGGUACCUGGAGAAUAAGCCCGGCAAACUCGUGCCAGCAGCCGCGGUAAUACGAAGGGGGCUA
rnacentral:rRNA from 1 species